ACGCAGGAGACACCGCGCCCGCCACACGCACGCAUCGCCCUCUCCUCCACUACCCAAAACUCCUCGCUUCCGAUUAGAUUGUCCGAUCCUAACCGCCCGCAUUCUGUUAGCAAUGGCGCUCGCCACCAAUGCCGCCGCCGCGGCAGCUGCCAUGUCCGGCGCGGCCGCGUCGCAGCCCCGUCCACACGCACCAGCGUUCCUCCCGCUGAGGCGCCGCUGCGCCGUCCGUGCCGUGCACGCCGCGGAGCCGUCCAAGGGCCACGGCGUCCCGGCGGCCGCAAAGACCUCGUCGCCCACGGUCGCGCCCGAGAAGGAGGCGGCCCCGGCUCCGUCCCCGGCCGCGAAGGCGCUCCCGAAGUGGUCGGUGGACAGCUGGAGGGCGAAGAAGGCGCUGCAGCUGCCGGAGUACCCGAACCCGGCGAAGCUCGAGACCGUGCUCAAGACGAUCGAGGCCUUCCCGCCGAUCGUGUUCGCCGGGGAGGCGCGCCACCUGGAGGAGCGCCUCGCCGACGCCGCCAUGGGCCGCGCCUUCCUCCUCCAGGGCGGCGACUGCGCCGAGAGCUUCAAGGAGUUCAACAGCGACAACAUCCGUGACACCUUCCGCGUCAUCCUCCAGAUGUCCGCCGUCCUCAUGUUCGGCGCCCAAAUGCCGGUCAUCAAGGUUGGUAGGACGGCCGGGCAGUUCGCCAAGCCGAGGUCGGAGCCGUUCGAGGUCAGGGAUGGAGUGAAGCUGCCCAGCUACCGGGGCGACAACAUCAACGGCGAGGCGUUCGACGAGAAGAGCCGCGUCCCCGACCCCCAGAGGAUGAUCCGGGCGUACACCCAAUCCGCCGCCACGCUCAACCUGCUCCGCGCGCUGGCCACCGGAGGGUACGCCGCCAUGCAGCGCGUCACCCAGUGGAACCUCGAUUUCACCGAGCACAGCGAGCAGGGCGACAGGUACCGUGAAUUGGCACAUCGGGUUGAUGAAGCACUCGGCUUCAUGUCUGCAGCUGGGCUAACAGCGGACCACCCGUUGAUGAAGACAACUGAGUUCUGGACCUCACACGAGUGCCUUCUCCUACCCUAUGAACAGGCUCUAACCCGUCAGGACUCCACCUCUGGUCUUUUCUAUGAUUGCUCUGCCCACAUGCUCUGGGUUGGUGAGCGCACUCGCCAACUUGACGGUGCGCAUGUUGAGUUCCUCAGGGGUAUUGCCAACCCUCUUGGCAUCAAGGUGAGUGACAAAAUGAACCCUAGUGAUUUGGUGAAGCUGAUCGAGAUCUUGAAUCCAUCAAACAAGCCUGGGAGAAUUACCGUCAUUACAAGGAUGGGGGCGGAGAACAUGAGGGUCAAGUUGCCUCAUCUUAUCCGUGCUGUCCGCCAGGCUGGACUAAUUGUCACCUGGAUCACUGAUCCCAUGCAUGGGAACACGAUCAAGGCUCCUUGCGGCCUAAAGACUCGUCCCUUCGACUCCAUUUUGGCUGAGGUACGAGCCUUUUUCGAUGUGCACGAACAAGAGGGAAGUCACCCAGGAGGCGUCCACCUUGAGAUGACUGGGCAAAAUGUAACUGAAUGCAUCGGUGGAUCACGCACAGUAACCUUUGAUGACCUGAGCGACCGCUACCACACUCAUUGUGAUCCAAGGUUGAACGCGUCCCAGUCUCUUGAGCUCUCAUUCAUCAUCGCUGAGAGGCUGAGGAAUAGGAGGAUCCGGUCAUCAUCUAUGCUCAACAAACAUCUUACCUUUGUCACCUUUUAGUUUCUGAAUGGGUAGAAAAGGCCAGUAAGAGAAAUGUGUGUAUUCCAUUUGUUGGAGGUUGCUCUUGGGUUGAACUGUAUGCCUAUGAGCUAUCCACGCUCCGAGGUGGAUUUGUUUGAAUUUUUUAUCUUUUGCAUGAUUAAACACUGUGUAAUGGUACAUAUGACUGCACUCGCCGACACUAAGUUUUCUAUUUAUAUUAUACCAUGUAUAAGAGAAUAAUCAUGCAAUAUAGCUGAGUUGGCUUUGUGAAUAAGUUA